rnacentral:rRNA from 1 species
GUCAUUGGGUAUAAUUAAUAAAAACCUAAAGGCGUAAUUAACUUAAAUGUUAUAUAUAAUGGGAUCAAUUAUAUAAAUAUUUUUAAUAUUUAUAUAUUCCAUCCCGGGGCGUUCUAUAUAGUUAUGUAUUUUAAUAAAUUUUUAUAAAUUUAUUAUUUAUACCUCUAACUAGAGCGUACUUUGAGCAUACAUGUUGUGACCCGAAAGAUGGUGAACUAUACCUGAUCAGGUUGAAGUCAGGGGAAACCCUGAUGGAGGACCGAAACAGUUCUGACGUGCAAAUCGAUUGUCAGAAUUGGGUAUAGGGGCGAAAGACCAAUCGAACCAUCUAGUAGCUGGUUCCCUCCGAAGUUUCCCUCAGGAUAGCUGGUGCAAUUAAAUAUUAUUUAAAAUAAUCUUAUCUGGUAAAGCGAAUGAUUAGAGGCCUUAGGGCCGAAACGACCUUAACCUAUUCUCAAACUUUAAAUGGGUAAGAACCUAACCUUUCUUGAUAUGAAGGUAUAGGUUAUGAUAUAUUGUGCCCAGUGGGCCAUUUUUGGUAAGCAGAACUGGCGCUGUGGGAUGAACCAAACGUGAUGUUAAGGUGCCUAAAUUAACAACUCAUACUGAUACCAUGAAAGGCGUUGCUUGCUUAAAACAGCAGGACGGUGGACAUGGAAGUCGUAAUCCGCUAAGGAGUGUGUAACAACUCACCUGCCGAAGCAACUAGCCCUUAAAAUGGAUGGCGCUCAAGUUGUAUACCUAUACAUCACCGUUAAAAUAUAUGAUUUAUAUAUAAUAAAAUAUAUAUAAAUUUUGAAACUUUAAUGAGUAGGAGGGUACAAUGGUAUGCGUAGAAGUGUUUGGCGUAAGCCUGCAUGGAGCUGCCAUUGGUACAGAUCUUGGUGGUAGUAGCAAAUAAUCGAAUGAGACCUUGGAGGACUGAAGUGGAGAAGGGUUUCGUGUGAACAGUGGUUGAUCACGAGUUAGUCGGUCCUAAGUUCAAGGCGAAAGCCGAAAAAUGAUAAGUUAUAUUUAAUUAUUUUAUAUAUAUAUAUUUUUUUAUAUUAUUAUUAUUAAAAUUAAUUAAUAUACACUUAUAAUUUUAUGAACGAAAGGGAAUACGGUUCCAAUUCCGUAACCUGUUGAGUAUACGUUUGUUAUUAAAAAUGGGCUUUUAUGCUCAUCCUGGCAACAGAAACAACCAUAAAGAAGCCGUCGAGAAAUAUCGAAAGAGUUUUCUUUUCUGUUUCAUAGUCGUACUACCAUGGAAGUCUUUCGAAGAGAGAUAUGGUAGAUGGGCUAGAAGAGCAUGGCAUUUACUGCUGUGUCGAUAUUUUCUCCUCGGACCUUGAAAAUUUAUGGUGGGGUCACGCAAACUUCUUAACAGGCCGUACCGAUAUCCGCAGCUGGUCUCCAAGGUGAAGAGUCUCUAGUCGAUAGAAUAAUGUAGGUAAGGGAAGUCA